rfam:Brassica napus, WGS project CCCW01000000 data, contig: 21688
AAACCAUGGUGAAGGCAUUCUCUUCGGUAGUCAUUAUAACGAUCCCAUGCGUCGCAAAAAGGCUCAUCAGUGAGCUGUCUGAAAGAAGUGAUCUUGUUCCUCAAUGC